rnacentral:rRNA from 1 species
CACCGGCGGCCCGAGUGGUAACCGUUUUAUUGCGUCUAAAGGGUCUGUAGCCGGCCAAGUAAGUCCUUUGGGAAAUCUGGUAGCUCAACUAUCAGGCUGCCAGGGGAUACUGCUUGGCUUGGGACCGGGAGAGGUGAGAGGUACCUCGGGGGUAGGGUGAAAUCUUGUGAUCCUCGAGGGACCACCAGUGGCGAAGGCGUCUCACCAGAACGGGUCCGAUGGUAAGGGACGAAAGCUAGGGGCACGAACCGGAUUAGAUACCCGGGUAGUCCUAGCCGUAAACGAUGCUCGCUAGGUGUCAGUCACGGUGCGACCGUGAUUGGUGCCGUAGGGAAGCCGUGAAGCGAGCCACCUGGGAAGUAUGGCCGCAAGGCUGAAACUUAAAGGAAUUGGCGGGGGAGCACUACAACGGGCGGAGCCUGCGGUUC